UUCCUCCAGUCUUAGGGAAAAAAAAAUAUUUAGUUUAGGUUAUACAUGCUAGUGUGUGCGAAUGGGUGAGGAUAAAAAUAAAAAAAGUUUUUUUUUUGUUGUAUUAAAAAAAGAAAAGUUUUUUAUUUUUUUUUUUGAAGAUGCAUGGUCUAACCACAUUUUCCCUGAAACAAAAGAAAACCUUUGGCAGCAGUAACAAAUUUUAUGAAAUAUACGAAAGUAGGACAUAGGUAAGAGAAAAAAAAUCUGUCAAAUAGAAGUGCCAGCAGACGCGGUAAGACUUAAGGAUUUAUUUUUUUUAUAAAAAGCAAAAAGCGUGUUAAGGAUUAAAAAAAAAAAUAAAUAGAAUUUUUUUGGUAAUUGUGAAAUGUUAGAAUGAAAAAAAGAAUUUUUUAUAUGAAAAUAAUUUAUUUUUUUUUUUUUUUUCUUAAAGACGAAGGUUUUGAGAGCAAACAGGAUUAGAGACCCUGGUAGUCUAUACAGUAAAAAAAUAUCGCUUGAGUAGUACGGUCGCAAGAUUAAAAUUCAAGAGACUUGGCUGUUCGGUUGUUAAUUAGAGGAGCGCGCCGCUUAAUUCGAUAAUCCGCGAGAGACCUUACCGAAGUUUGAAUCUAUAAACAGGUGUUGCAUGGCCGUCGUCAAUUUCUGUUUAAGACAAAGAGGGGUUUAAUCCUAUCAAGGUUGAAGUCAGGUAUUAUGACCCUUAUAUUUCGGGGUUAGGCGCGCUACAUUUCUCUCUUAGAAAAGGAGGGGUUCGGAUUGUCUUUAAAAUAAGAUAAUGAAGUUGGAUUUAAUAGUAAUUGAAAAGUAGUGCGUUUCAAUGAACGUGAAAACAAUGUUAGUACACAUAGCCCGUCGCCAGCCCAGAAAUAGGCUGUAAGUCGUAACAUAGUAAGAGUGAGGGAACUGGCUCUUG
rnacentral:rRNA from 1 species